UCAACUCAGAGUACAAGGAGAAGGGAU
rnacentral:piRNA from 1 species